CCCACCCCUUUCUUUCUCUCCCUCCCUCUUUCUCCUCUCUCUGUCUCUGGAUGCUCCUGUCAGGAUGUCAACUCAGCCCUCUGUGAAGGAAUGACUCCAGAUACAGCACAUGUCAGCUGGAGAGAUCGUGAGCACCAUGCAAACAGGGCCUUCUCUAUCUUUGUUCACCUCUAUCCUCAGUGCCUCAACAGAUAUAAACUGAGGUCUGGAGAGGAGGUGUGGUGUCUUCAGGACCAUGCAGAGCCUAAGAGUAGAUCUCAUCACUCCCAGCCCCGGAUACAUUUGAAACAGUGGAACUGUAGAGGGGAGUCCAGGUGGAUCCAUGAUUUUACUCCACCCAACAGCAACUCCAGUCAACCUCUGCCUCUGGGCUUCCUGUUUCAUAAACUCACACCAGCCACAUGGCCACACUGAGGUUCAGUCUGCGUGUCUGCAAAAUAGAGGCUUCCCUUGGGUCCUCAAGGGCAGAUUCAGGU